CAGCAGGAGUGAUUCAUUUGAGCCAUUGAUUGGCUAAACUAAAGAGUCCACACAUCUUGUUUAUUUGGCUACUGAUCGCAAUGAAGCAACAAAGCAACAAUGAAGCCUUCACACCCCUGGUUUAGAACUCUCUGCCCCCAUAGACUGGGAACCCCGGCCACCUGAGUGACCGCUCGCCCGUGGUUACGCCCUGCACGCUCGCAGCCAUGGCAACAGCAACUCCCUGGCCUCCUUUGAUCUGGUCAACCAGAACCUGACCUGGAGUGCCAGUGGUCUUCCUGCAAGGACAAGGAAAAGCCAUAGCACAAAUCCCCUUUUUCUUAUAUUGAUUUUCUUGGCUAAAAUAAGCUGAAGUAAGCUCAGUUUUAUUAA